GGACUUGUAGUCCGCGGCCGGGCCCGCGCGUGGGACGGCGGAGCGCGCGGGAGGCCCGCAGGGUCCCGGCCCCGGCCCCGGUCCGGCCCCCUCGGCGUCCCCGAGCCACCUGGCCCCGUCCCCUGCCUCGGCACCUGGACGCGGCGCGCCAGCCUGCCAGCGCUCUUGUUUGUGUCCGAGCGCCUGGCCCGACGCACCUCUGCGCCCGCCGACUCCCACGACCCCUGUCUGCUGGCGGCCUCACUCCCCCUUCCGUUACUUUCUGCCUCCCUCUUCUGGAUAUGCACACGGCGCGAGUGCUUCCGAGACCAACUGCUACCAAGACCUUCCUGAGCCCACGCCGGCGGAAGGCCAGGCUGCACCGGUGAACUGAAGUUUCCGGGGAUGUGAGACUUUUUCAUCCUAGCACCUUGAGCCUAGCAUUGCACCAGGAAUCAUUCACACACUCUGGAUUCAGCCACCUCUGAAAAAGCCCCAUCUGGUUCUUCAUGAGGCUUUCGGGGGCAUCUAGACACAGCCACAAGACCCUUCAAAGACUCUGUCUCCAAACACAGUCACAUUCUGCUGUCAACUUGUGAGUUUUCGGGGACACAGCUCAGCCCACGACAGUGCCUCUCCUGAAGGACGUCUCUGCUUCCAGCCCAUCUUGACCUUUGUGGUCACCCUGGCCUUCUUGCACUUCAACGCACGCCGCCUCAGUACAUUGCCAGGUUCCCCUGCCAGGACAGCGCCUCCCCAGCACCCUCUCUGGCUCCACCACUCCUUCCUGUACUUACUCCCAAGCCACUUGCUCAGCGAGACCUUUGCCACCUUACCCAAAGUCACAUCCCUUCUCAUUGACACUUUGUGUCUCCAUUCCUUGCUGUGGUGGAAAGAAUGAUGGUCCCUGAAGAAGAACCACAAAUGUGUUACCUGAAAUGGCACAAGGGACCCUGCCGCUGUGCCUGCGUUAAGGGCCUCGAGAUGGAGAGGUGAUCCUGGGCCGGCUCCAGCGUCAUCGAAGGGGUCAGAGUCAGACAAGAGAUGUGAUGGCAGAUGCCGGGGCAGGGUGGGGGCCUGAUGGUAAGAUGCUGCUGUGGCAGCUUGAAAGGCAGAGGAAGGGGCCACGAGCCAAGGAGUGUAGACGUCUCUGGAAGCCAGAAAAGCCUCACGCACGCUGCAGCACGCGCCAGAAUUUGCUUCCUUUUGAAGGCUGACUGGUAGUCCAUUAUGCAGAGAGGCCGAAGUUUGUUCAUUGCUCUGCCAAAGGAUGCAUGGGCUGCCUCCACCUUCCCACCUGCUAGCUGAGCUUGGGAAGCCACCAGAUACUGGACCAGCAGGGUUGGAAAUCAACUGGCAACAGCCCCCAAAGCCUUGUGGUGUCAGGUAACAGAGAACAGAGGGCGGCCCUGUGACAAGAGGAAGGAAGGCAUCCUGCAGAAACCCCACUGCUGAGUGGAAAUGCCCUGCCUGACUGCUAGGAAUACAGCCACCUAGAAUGUGUUUCGCUACAGUGUUUCCACGGAACCAGCUGCUGCUACUUUUUCUAUUUCCCAAGGAGGGUAAUAGGCAAAGCGGCCUUGUUCUUCUGCCACCCCAAGCCACCUUCUGCACAUGCUACUCCAGUCCUUGCUGAUGUCAGCUCCGGGGGAAUUAAGAUGCAUCUACAAUUUGCACACCCACCUCAGCUCUUCUUCAAUGUUUAAAGUGGGUAUUAAUAGAGACACGUGCUAAAACAAUCAUGUAAAUCAUUCCCUCUGUAUGUGAAGUGCAAAAUACACGAUAAUUCUGUUAUGCAUUCUUCUCUCAAAAAAUAGAAGCUUAACUUGCUUACACAAAUUCUGCAAAC
ensembl:lncRNA